rnacentral:tRNA from 1 species
AAGAGAAGUCAGGGACAAAAAGAACUGCUAAUUCUUUCUAUCCAGGGUUCGAACCCCUGGUUCACUUAA